rnacentral:rasiRNA from 1 species
AGCUUCAUCCAAGCGAACUGUGCCCGA